rnacentral:rRNA from 1 species
UGGGGAAUUUUGCACAAUGGGGGCAACCCUGAUGCAGCGACGCCGCGUGAUUUAGAAGGCCUUCGGGUUGUAAAAAUCUUUUGUAUGGGAAGAAAAUGACAGUACCAUACGAAUAAGGACCGGCUAAUUACGUGCCAGCAGCCGCGGUAAUACGUAAGGUCCGAGCGUUGUCCGGAAUCAUUGGGCGUAAAGGGUACGUAGGCGGAUAAGCAAGUUAGAAGUGAAAUCCUAUAGCUCAACUAUAGUAAGCUUUUAAAACUGCUCAUCUUGAAGUAUGGAAGGGAAAGUGGAAUUCCUAGUGUAGCGGUGAAAUGCGCAGAUAUUAGGAGGAAUACCGGUGGCGAAGGCGACUUUCUGGCCAUAAACUGACGCUGAGGUACGAAAGCGUGGGUAGCAAACAGG